rnacentral:tRNA from 1 species
CGGAGCGUAGUUCAGAUGGCUAGAACGUUAGGCUGGGGGUCUAAAGGUCGCGGGUUCAAGUCCCGCCGCUCCGA